GCCCAGCUAGCUCAGUCAGUAGAGCACGAGACUCUUAAUCUCAGGUUUGUGAGUUCGUACCCCACGUUGGGCA